UUGUUCUUUUGUAGGGUGUUU
rnacentral:piRNA from 1 species